UACGGAAGGCAGCAGUGGGGAAUAUUGCACAAUGGGCGAAAGCCUGAUGCAGCUAUGCCGCGUGUAUGAAGAAGGCCUUAGGGUUGUAAAGUACUUUCAUCGGGGAGGAAAAACAAAACUAAUAAUUUUAUUUCUUGACGUUACCCGAAAAAGAAGCACCGGCUAACUCCGUGCCAGCAGCCGCGGUAAUACGGAGGGUGCUAGCGUUAAUCAGAAUUACUGGGCGUAAAGAGCACGUAGGUGGUUUUUUUAAGUCAGAUGUGAAAUCCCUGGGCUUAACCUGGAACUGCAUUUUGAAACUGAAAUACUAGAGUAUCGUAGAGGGAGGUAGAAUUCUAGGUGUAGCGGUGAAAUGCGUAGAUAUCUGGAGGAAUACCUGUGGCGAAAGCGGCCUCCUAAACGAAUACUGACACUGAGGUGCGAAAGCUGGGGAGCAAACAGGGACUUAGAUACCCGU
rnacentral:rRNA from 1 species